UGCCAGACUCCUACGGGAGGCAGCAGUGAGGAAUAUUGGUCAAUGGGCGGGAGCCUGAACCAGCCAAGCCGCGUGAGGGAAGAAGGUACAGCGUAUCGUAAACCUCUUUUGUCAGGGAACAAAGGCGGGGACUAGUCCCCGGAUGAGGGUACCUGAAGAAAAAGCAUCGGCUAACUCCGUGCCAGCAGCCGCGGUAAUACGGAGGAUGCGAGCGUUAUCCGGAUUUAUUGGGUUUAAAGGGUGCGUAGGCGGACGCUAAAGUCAGCGGAAAAAUUGCGGGGCUCAACCGCGUCGGGCCGUUGAAACUGGGUGCCUUGAGUGGGCGAGAAGUACGCGGAAUGCGUGGUGUAGCGGUGAAAUGCAUAGAUAUCACGCAGAACCCCGAUUGCGGAGGCAGCAUACCGGUGCACAACUGACGCUCAGGCACGAAAGCGUGGGUAUCGAACAGGAUUAGAUACCCUUGUA
rnacentral:rRNA from 1 species